rnacentral:rRNA from 1 species
AUGCACAUCGAGAAAAACAUAUGUGAAAACCUCAUUGGGACAAUUUUGAACUUAGAGGGGAAGACAAAGGACACACUCAAUGCUAGGAUUGAUCUCCAAGAUUUGAAUAUUAAAGAGGAGUUGAAAUUGAGGAAUGAAGGAAACUCAUAUGUGAUGCCACGGGCACGAUAUACCUUGUCCAAAGAACAAGUGGUUGCAUUUUGUCAAUUUCUACGGGAGUUAAAGUUUCUGGAUGGAUUUGCUUCCAACAUAUCAAGAUGUACAAGUGCUGAUGGUACCAAGGUACAAGGCCUUAAAACACAUGAUUGUCACAUUCUUCUGCAAAGAAUCUUACCCGCUGGCAUGAGUGGAUUUUUGGACAGUGAUAUAUAUCAAGCAAUAGCUGAGUUAGGCAAGUUUUUCAGGGAACUAUGCAGCAAAAAUCUUAAUAGGGAUGUGUUGGCUGAAAUGAAGAAAGAAAUCUCUAUAAUUUUGUGCAAGCUUGAGAAAAUUUCCCCCCCUGCUUUCUUUGAUGUGAUGGUGCACCUUGCAGUACAUUUACCUGAAGAGGCAUUGCUUCGAGGUCCCUUAUAA